GUUGAAUUGAUUCUCAGCCACUGAUAGAAGACCUAGAACCCUGAGGCAAGAAAUGACUGCUGGAUCUUUGUACCCUGCUACGAAUAAUGAGACUGGUAUUAGCCAACUAAGAAGAGUUUCAAAGUCUGCUUAACUAUUGACAGGAUUGCUGCACUACUGGUGUUGUGGCCUUCCCUUGACAAGCAAUGAAAAAUCAAGUCUAGUGUGCCAAUCUGGACUUGCGUGUCAGAAGAAAGAAGUGGGCCUUUUAUGGCUUCAGCAAAUAAGUUCGUCAUAGUAUUAUAAUCUGCCGUAGGUCCUGUUGCUUGCAUGAAGUUAUCUUCUUCUCCAGAACUCCUCCAAGUGUUGUCGUUUGCAAACGCGCUCUCGAAGUACCCCCUUUGAGCUAAUACUGUCAGCAGCGCUGAAAGGUAAGGUAAUGGAGAAGCUAUCUGUGAGGAGAUGUAAAACGAACCUAUACAGUUUGUACGAACUUCAUCACUUUGAGUCUUCAUGAGUGCUUCCAGUGAUAAACUCAAGAGUUUGGGGCAGUAGACAAGUAAAUCCUCUGGAUCAUCUCCAGCUUGUAAUAAAAAUACUUUGAACAAAACAAACAGGAUUUCUCCACGAAUCUCUUCGCUGUGGUAAAAUUACAAGAAGAUAUUACUAU